rnacentral:tRNA from 1 species
GCCCGGAUAGCUCAGUUAGUAGAGCAAAGGAUUGAAAAUCCUUGUGUCCUUGGCGCGAUCCCGAGUCCGGGCACCA